UCAAUAAGCGGAGGAAAAGAAACCAACAGGGAUUGCCUCAGUAACGGCGAGUGAAGCGGCAACAGCUCAAAUUUGAAAUCUGGCCCCCCGGGUCCGAGUUGUAAUUUGCAGAGGAUGCUUUUGGCGCGGUGCCUUCCGAGUUCCCUGGAACGGGACGCCAUAGAGGGUGAGAGCCCCGUACGGUUGGACACCAAGCCUGUGUAAAGCUCCUUCGACGAGUCGAGUAGUUUGGGAAUGCUGCUCAAAAUGGGAGGUAUAUUUCUUCUAAAGCUAAAUACCGGCCAGAGACCGAUAGCGCACAAGUAGAGUGAUCGAAAGAUGAAAAGCACUUUGAAAAGAGGGUUAAACAGCACGUGAAAUUGUUAAAAGGGAAGCGCUUGUGACCAGACUUGCGCCCGGUGAAUCACCCAGCUCUCGCGGCUGGGGCACUUUGCCGGCUCAGGCCAGCAUCAGCUCGCCGUCGGGGACAAAAGCUUCGGGAACGUAGCUCUCUUCGGGGAGUGUUAUAGCCCGCUGCACAAUACCCUUCGGCGGGCUGAGGUACGCGCUCCGCAAGGAUGCUGGCGUAAUGGUCAUCAGCGACCCGUCUUGAAACACGGACCAAGGAGUCAACCUUAUGUGCGA
rnacentral:rRNA from 1 species